rnacentral:rRNA from 1 species
GAUGAACGCUGGCGGCGUGCCUAAUACAUGCAAGUCGAGCGAGACUCUUCGGAGUCUAGCGGCGGACGGGUGAGUAACACGUGGGCAACCUGCCUGUAAGACUGGGAUAACACCGGGAAACCGGUGCUAAUACCGGAUAAUCCUUUUCCUCUCAUGAGGAGAAGCUGAAAGACGGUUUCGGCUGUCACUUACAGAUGGGCCCGCGGCGCAUUAGCUAGUUGGUGAGGUAACAGCUCACCAAGGCGACGAUGCGUAGCCGACCUGAGAGGGUGAUCGGCCACACUGGGACUGAGACACGGCCCAGACUCCUACGGGAGGCAGCAGUAGGGAAUCUUCCACAAUGGACGAAAGUCUGAUGGAGCAACGCCGCGUGAGCGAUGAAGGCCUUCGGGUCGUAAAGCUCUGUUGUUAGGGAAGAACAAGUACCGGAGUAACUGCCGGUACCUUGACGGUACCUAACCAGAAAGCCACGGCUAACUACGUGCCAGCAGCCGCCGUAAGAC